rnacentral:sRNA from 1 species
GUUGUGUUGCAAAAAUCCGGCCGUCGACCUGAGGACUUGCGUGCAGCUCAGCUCCCGGGACGUUUGGAGAUCUUUCCAGCAUCUCAGGAUCAGAAGACUCAGACUCAGCCAGUGAGGAGGACUUGCAGACACUGGAUCGGGAGAGGGCUACAUUUGAGAAGUUUAGCCGACCCCAAGGCUUUUACCCUCAUCGAGUUCUUUUCCAGAAUGCCCAGGGCCAGUUUCUUUAUGCCUACCGCUGUGUCCUAGGCCCUCAUCAGGAUCCCCCAGAAGAGGCAAAACUGCUGCUACAGAAUCUGCAAAGCAGAGGUCCCAGAGACUGCGUGGUGCUCAUGGCUGCAGCUGGGCACUUUGCUGGUGCUAUAUUUCAAGGAAGAGAAGUGGUGACACACAAAACUUUUCACCGCUAUACGGUGCGAGCCAAGCGGGGCACAGCCCAGGGGCUUCGGGAUGCCCGAGGUGGGCCAUCACGCUCUGCUGGAGCCAACCUGAGGCGCUACAAUGAAGCCACACUAUAUAAGGAUGUUCGUGACCUGCUGGCAGGGCCAAGCUGGGCUAAGGCGCUGGAGGAGGCUGGUACAAUACUGUUGCGUGCUCCCCGCUCUGGCCGGUCGUUGUUCUUUGGAGGCAAGGGGGCACCCCUGCAAAGGGGGGAUCCCCGACUUUGGGAUAUCCCCCUCGCCACCCGCAGACCCACCUUCCAAGAGCUACAGCGUGUGCUCCAUAAGCUGACCACUUUGCAUGUCUAUGAAGAAGACCCUCGGGAAGCAGUCAGACUGCACUCACCUCAGACACACUGGAAAACAAUAAGAGAGGAGAGAAAGAAGCCUACUGAGGAAGAAAUAAGAAAGAUCUGCAGUGAUGAAAAGGAAGCACUUGGGCAGAAUGAGGAAUCUCCCAAACAGGGUUUGAUUACUAUCUGGCAACUGUCAGAUCUGAGUUUCUGUCCUAAAAAUGCACUGGCAAAUUCCCUACUCUCAUAACUGACCCAUUUCCUUAUUUAAACACACACCCACAGUAUCUGUAUCUUAGCAAUUACUGAGACAUGUUUAGUGACCUUUCCAAAUCUAUUACCUCUUUUGUUAUGGAUGUUACCCCAGAGCUAAGAAAAUCUUUGUGUGGAGCAGAUGCGUGGACGUGUUGCAUGGAUCUCACAUAGUUUAUCUUUGAUUGGAAGCUGUGGUUUGAGGCUGAGGGCUGCUUCCAUGCUUUCCUCUAUUGUGCAGCCUCCUAAGGCUGCUCAUAAGUCCAGGGACUUGUUCUUGUCUGGGCUGAGAGCCUCAUUUC